CCAAUAAGGGGACAUGGGGCCAAUAUGGGGCUGGGGGGACAAUAUGGGGCCAAUAAGGGGCCAAUAAGGGGACAUGGGGCCAAUAUGGGGCUGGGGGGACAAUAUGGGGCCAAUAAGGGGCCAAUAAGGGGACAUGGGGCCAAUAUGGGGCCGGGGGGCCAAUAUGGGGCCAAUAAGGGGCCAAUAAGGGGACAUGGGUCCAAUAUGGGGCUGGGGGACAAUAUGGGGCCAAUAAGGGGCCAAUAAGGGGACAUGGGGCCAAUGUGGGGCUGGGGGGAUAAUAUGGGUCCAAUAUAGGUCCAAUAUGGGGUCUGGGGGCCCAAUAUGGGGCCAAUAUGGGGCCAAAAAAGGGUGAAUAUGGGGGCAAUAAGGGGUCUAUAUGGGGCCGGGGGGCCAAUAUGGGGCCAAAAAAGGGCGAAUAUGGGGCCAAUAUGGGUCCGGGGGGCCAAUAUGGGGCCAUGGGGCCAAUAUGAGGACAGAAAAGGGCGAAUAUGGGGUGAAUAUGGGGCCAAUGUGGGGCUGGGGGGCCAAUAUGGGGCGAAUAUGGGGCCAGGGGGGCAAUAUGGGGCAGAGAUGGGGCCAAUAUGGGGCCAAUAUGGGGCCAUGGGGGGCAAUGUGGGGCCGAGAUGGGGCGAAUAUGGGGCCAUGGGGGGCAAUAUGGGGCAGAGAUGGGGCCAAUAUGGGGCCAAUAUGGGGCCAAUAUAGGUCCGGGGGGCCAAUAUGGGGCCAAAAAAGGGCGAAUAUGGGGUGAAUAUGGGGCCAAUGUGGGGCUGGGGGGCCAAUAUGGGGCCAAUAUGGGGUGAAUAUGGGGUGAAUACGGGGCCAGGGGGGCAAUAUGGGGCCGAGAUGGGGCCAAUAUGGGGCCAAUAUGGGUCCGGGGGGCCAAUAUGGGGCCAAAAAAGGGCGAAUAUGGGGUGAAUAUGGGGCCAAUGUGGGGCUGGGGGGCCAAUAUGGGGCGAAUAUGGGGCCAUGGGGGCCAAUAUGGGGCAGAGAUGGGGGCUUCCGAGUGGGUGUGGACGCACCUCUCCCCACGGCAGCGCGUGGAUGUGGGGCGGCGGCAGCAGCAGCAGCAGCAGAGCGGUGACGGUGGC
ensembl:lncRNA